GGAAUUUUCCGCAAUGGGGGCAACCCUGACGGAGCAACGCCGCGUGGGGGAGGAAUGUCUGUGGAUUGUAAACCCCUUUUCUCAGGGAAGAAGAUCUGACGGUACCUGAGGAAUCAGCAUCGGCUAACUCCGUGCCAGCAGCCGCGGUAAGACGGAGGAUGCAAGCGUUAUCCGGAAUUAUUGGGCGUAAAGCGUCCGUAGGCGGUUCAUUAAGUCUGCCGUUAAAGACUACAGCUUAACUGUGGGCGAGCGGUGGAAACUGACGAACUGGAGUGCGGUAGGGGUAGAGGGAAUUCCCAGUGUAGCGGUGAAAUGCGUAGAUAUUGGGAAGAACACCAGUGGCGAAGGCGCUCUACUGGGCCGUAACUGACGCUGAGGGACGAAAGCUAGGGGAGCGAAA
rnacentral:rRNA from 1 species